rnacentral:rRNA from 1 species
UAGGGAAUAUUGCAAAAUGGGCGAAAGCCCGAUGCAGCAACGCCGCGUGGGCGAUGAAGGCCUUCGGGUCGUAAAGCCCUUUUUGAGGGGAUGAGGAAGGACAGUACCCUCAGAAUAAGCCUCGGCUAACUACGUGCCAGCAGCCGCGGUAAAACGUAGGAGGCGAGCGUUAUCCGGAUUUACUGGGCGUAAAGCGCGUGCAGGCGGAUUGGAGAGUUGGAUGUGAAAGCUCCCGGCUUAACUGGGAGAGGUCGUUCAAUACUUCCAGUCUUGAGUGCAGUAGAGGGAAGUGGAAUUCCGAGUGUAGUGGUGAAAUGCGUAGAUAUCCGGAGGAACACCAGUGGCGAAAGCGGCUUCCUGGACUGUAACUGACGCUCAGACGCGAAAGCUAGGGUAGCAAACG